rnacentral:rRNA from 1 species
UAGGGCGGGGCACGAGAAACCCUGUCUGAACAUGGGGGGGACCAUCCUCCAAGGCUAAAUACUCAUCAUCGACCGAUAGUGAACCAGUACCGUGAGGGAAAGGCGAAAAAGAACCCCGGGAGGGGAGUGAAAUAGAUCCUGAAACCGCAUGCUUACAAAAAGUAGGAGCCCGCAAGGGUGACUGCGUACCUUUUGUAUAAUGGGUCAGCGACUUACAUUCAGUGGCAAGGUUAACCGAAUAGGGAAGCCGUAGAGAAAUCGAGUCCGAAUAGGGCGAAGAGUCGCUGGGUGUAGACCCGAAACCAGGUGAUCUAUCCAUGGCCAGGAUGAAGGUGCCGUAACAGGUACUGGAGGUCCGAACCGACUGGUGUUGCAAAACCAGCGGAUGAGCUGUGGAUAGGGGGUGAAAGGCUAAACAAACCUGGAAAUAGCUGGUUCUCUCCGAAAACUAUUUAGGUAGUGCCUCAAGUAUUACCU